rnacentral:rRNA from 1 species
UACGUAGGGAGCAAGCGUUGUCCGGAUUUACUGGGUGUAAAGGGUGCGUAGGCGGCUUUGCAAGUCAGAUGUGAAAUCUAUGGGCUCAACCCAUAAACUGCAUUUGAAACUGUAGAGCUUGAGUGAAGUAGAGGCAGGCGGAAUUCCCCGUGUAGCGGUGAAAUGCGUAGAGAUGGGGAGGAACACCAGUGGCGAAGGCG